GAUGAACGCUAGCUACAGGCUUAACACAUGCAAGUCGAGGGGCAGCGGUAUCGAAAGCUUGCUUUCGGUAGCCGGCGACCGGCGCACGGGGGAGUAACGCGUAUCGAACCUGCCUCAUACUCGGGAAUAGCCUUGCGAAAGGAAGGUUAAUGCCCGGGGGUUUCAGAGUCCCGCCUGAGGCUUUGAACAAAGAUUUAUCGGUAUGGGAUGGCGAUGCGUCCCAUUAGCUUGUUGGCGGGGUAACGGCCCACCAAGGCAUCGAUGGGUAGGGGUUCUGAGAGGAAGGUCCCCCACAUUGGAACUGAGACACGGUCCAAACUCCUACGGGAGGCAGCAGUGAGGAAUAUUGGUCAAUGGGCGGAAGCCUGAACCAGCCAAGUAGCGUGCGGGAAGACGGCCCUCCGGGUUGUAAACUGCUUUUAGUUGGGAAUAAAACGGGGCUCGUGAGCCCCCUUGCAUGUACCAUCAGAAAAAGGACCGGCUAAUUCCGUG
rnacentral:rRNA from 1 species